GACAAAAUGGUACAAUGGAAAGAACACAAGAUUUAGAAUCUGAGAACCUGGGUUCACAUUCCAGAUUUGUCA
rnacentral:tRNA from 1 species